rnacentral:misc_RNA from 1 species
ACGAACUGCAAAUGUUCUUUCACAAAAAAUGACCACCAUUUUGUGGUGAACAGACAAAAAGGAAAGCAGUGGCGUACUGGUACAGUUCAGGGAUCUGACUACACAAUUACCUCAGAAUUUUGCAGCAGAACAAUCUGCCAGGAACAAUUAGAUAUUAUUGUACUGCUGACCAAUUAAGGGCUACAAUGUUGCAUGCUAGCUAUCUUCCGUAAUACACUUUGUUAAGUAUGUGUCUG